ACAUACGCGUGUGAAUCAUCGAAUCUUUGAACGCACCUUGCACCUUGGGAGUCUAUCCCAAGGUAUACCUGUUUGAGUAUCAUUUACAAUUAUCCAAGUAAUUGGGUUUUGAGGAGUCGCAGCUUACGAGCUUCGUCCCUUUAAAUGUAGCAGGCUGGAGAUAAAAGUGCGGCUACUAGUCUUCUUCUGAGGUAAUUUGCUUUUUUUAAGCAAUGAUUUUCAGGAGGUUUAUGGGCUUUUAGUUAAUGCGUUAUCUUUUAACAGAUCCUGGUUGGGUUUUUUUAAACUUCACAUUUAGUGUAGUAAUAGUAGUUGUAGGGUAAUUCCUUCACUACUCUUCUACACAAAAGAACAAUUGUGAUCUCAAAUCAGGCAAGAUUACCCGCCGAACUUAAGCAUAUCAAUAAGCGGAGG
rnacentral:rRNA from 1 species